UGGAUGUAUGCAACUGCAUGAAUGGGACAACGAAGCCGCUGUCAUGAAAGUUGCAGAGUGAUGAAAGAGAUACCGAGGUGUGAAAUAAAAGGCAAAUGUGAAGCUCUUGCAUCAAUCCUCAGACUGAUUCCUGCAAAUUUUCCUACAGAACUACAACAUGGUAGUCUUGAAUAUGGAGAGGACAAGAUCGAAAAGGACGGUGAUAUAAGGAAAACGGGGAGUGGAAGAGGAAGAAAGUUGGGAUGACAAUUAUAAAUAGAAUAUCGAGUUUGAUGAUGAUGAUAAUUGGAACCAAGAGGAGGAAGCAGGUAAGUUUCAUUUGAUUUUCUGUUCAUAUGGCGGCUAAUGUGACCAGAUAUGUAAGUCUGGAUUGGUUUACUUACUUUCUUGUAGGUUCUACACUUACAGUUUUUAGUACUUGCUUCUUGUUGCCUCUCAGUGUAUCACUAAAUAAUCAGUGUUUUGGGUACUUGCUUCCUGUUGCCUCCCAGUGUAUCACUGAAUAAUCAGUUGACCAGUGUUGGCAAAGGUGCAUCGAUCCUAUUUAGUUCUGGUUCUGUAUGCCUCCCUAGAUACAGCUUAUACCCAAAAAUAUUAGCAUACACAUUGAUAUCAGUUGUGGGAGACUCGGCUAUGCCGGCAAUGCCUCCAAUGUGGUGGUGGUCAUGGUGGACGCCACCAUGUGCACUUCAGCUCAUCUGGGUGUAGCCGGAGUGAUUUCCUUCGCAGUUCAAGUCCGGGCAGUUUUUUAUGUGCAUGUAAUCCUGUUUUGCUUGGUCCCUAGCAUUAUUAAUUUUAUUUUUCUACCAAUAACAACCAAGUAAUGUGUGCAUGUCCACGUCUUAGUGUAAUUCUCGGUUAGUUAGAUCUUACCGAUGCAUGUGCUUCGUGGGAUGCCACGAAUCCAGUGCAAGCAGCGUCGCUGUGGCUGGGUUCAGGUGGACAUGGGAUGGUUCAUCCGAUAUACCUACCCACUAGCUAUUCUCUCUUUUUCAGUAGUAUUUUAAACGACAGUAGUUGACCAUAUAAAUAAGAGGAAAAAUCCAGAAAAGGUUGCAAGAUUUUUACGCAAUGCAAAUCACUUGUUUGCGUGCUCGCGUGUGUGUGUAGGCGCGCUUGUUCUUUCAUGUCCAAAUACUUGUGUAGUGUUGUGAGAGAGAUCCAGCAACUUCAGUUUUUGUCAUGCAGUUCCCUGAGUCAUAUACAUCUCUUGUGUCCUUUAGAUACAUCAUGUGUACAGGGAGCAAGCGCCACAUUGCUACAUUUAAUGCUUUGGUGUGCUCUCACGCUCCAAGCCAUUGCCCCACGCUCCAAACUGCAUAUAUUGACUGUGAUAUGAAAUUGUAAUUGCUCAUAAUUUAAAUUUUUGACACAAGGCAGGAGCCAAGAAUACUAGCUUGCCUGGGAGAAUAUAUGUAAGAGAGUAUAUUAAUUUACCUUUUGAGGGAAGAGUAUAUAAUUUAAGAAUAAGGCACAUCUGUGUGACAUGGAAGCUCUUAACAAUGGUUAGCGUAUGGUUGCCAAGUUAUUUCUAUGGUUCAUCUCAAAUUGAGCGUCUUGAUACUUCAUAUGAAAAUUUGGUUGUAAAAAUUUGUUUGCCACAAGACACACUUUUUUGUAUGAAAGAAAUAUGUAUAAGAUUCCUCGAAGCAUUGUCGAAAAGCAGGUUCGUAUGUCUGAGUGUCUGACAUGCCUUUCUUUUUCAGUUUUUCCUGCCAGAAAGAAAGCAAGUGACUUAUUUAAUCCCAGAGAUAUGUCCCUGUUAUCAGUUUUGAGGAGUCAUUGUUCCAGUCAUACAAAAUGUUGACAGAUGUAUCAUUUACAAUGACCGUUCAAUUGUAAUUUCAGUGCCAUGUCAUAAAAUUUGAAUUCACCACUUCAGCCCCUUCCAUAAGGUAGUUCUCUUUCUAUGACCUGAAAUCACAAAAUCCAUUGCCUGUGAUUUAGUCUUCUAUACCAGCAUAGAAAAUUGGCAAUUGUAAAUGAUUACCUAUGGCGGUGAAGUUAUGUGUAGCUACAAAAUCUUUCUCUGUCAGUCUCAAGGGGGCAACAAGGUCAUCCAGUUUGUUCAUUCAUUCAAUUCUUUUUGCU